UGCAGACAUCAAAUACACACACAAAUGAACCAACACACUAAAUUACCCCCUAUCUCUCUCUCUCUCUAUAAACACACAGACAAUCAAAGAUGAAACCCUCACAUUUCAUCAUCUUCUUUCUUAAAUACACAACACACACACACACAUAAAAACAACAGGUCCCUCAUCUCUCUCGAUUAUCUUUACAAACAACAACUCCCCUCUUGUCUGCUUGGUCCGACGGUCGGAGUGGAAUUCCGGCCGGUCGGCGCCGUUUUUCCGACGCCUACGACACGACCAUCCUCCUCCCUUUUCACCUCUACCCACCCCCCUCUCCGAUGAGCUCCAGCACCACAUAACGAAGUCCGCGGCGGCCGGAGGUGAUGGCUUGCGGCUGCGACACUCCGAGAGGAGAGAGAGAAAAACCAGAGAAGAAGACGGGGACCCGACGAUUUCCAGCGACUGUGUUUCUCUGGCAGAAGCGCCGUUUUCCAGCAACGGGUGGCCGCCGGUGGUGGAGUUAUUUCUGAUUGACAUGUUUCCCUACAACCCCGGUAACACUCGUCUCUGUUUCUCUUCGCUUUCUCUCAUUUCUUUUUCUGAGAAUUGAUGAUAAGGAUGAAUUGUUGCUGAGAGGAUGAUGAUGAUGUUCGAGUCGAGAUGUUGAUGAUAAUGAUGACAGUGGAGUGGUUAUGCUGGUUCGGUCAUCUGAGAUUUCAGUUCGGGUGUUCGGGUCAGCCGCGAUUUGGGUUUCGGGUCAGUGGGUUCAAGGUUGGUUCAAACCGGUUCGGAAUCGGGUCAAGAGAUGUCAAGGUGGUUCGAGUUCUCAGUACGGGUUUCAGUUUGGCUCGGGUCUCAGUCAGCCGCAGUCAAACAGGGUCAAAGAUGGUCAACCGCAGUCAACAGAUUUUGGUUCGGGUUCAGAUUUUUCGUAUUCGGCUCGGGUCAACUCGGGUCAAACACGGCUAACCCAGUUAACUCGGUUAACUCCGUUAACCCGGUUAACUCGGUCAACUCAGCAAGUCGACUCGGUCAACACGUUCGGUGUUUCGACUUGACAAUUUGGAAUAUUGUAGAAUGCACGCUAGCGAGUCACGUCUUGGAAACGACAUCGUAUAUAGCUAGCUUUGCACAGGAAUAUUCAGGUGAGUUCAUAACCCCACCUUUUUAUGGUUUUACAUUUUUUCUAAAUGUUUUCGGGGUGGAAAAACAUGCACUUUUUGCAAAGCGUACAAGAAUUACAUAUUUCUAAACCAUGUUAUAAGCAAGUUUUAACAGACACGAAUGGUUUACGAAAAGCUUAUGUCUUAUACCGGUUUUUCAAACAAGCGUAUUUUUCAAAAUAUGCAUACACACGAAUUCUAAACCUAGUGAGUUCAUGCUCCCCCUUUUCUUUUAACUGUUUUCAGUUUUAUAACUUCGGGGGUGAAAUUCAUGUUACAAAUAUUACAAUGUUUACAAAUGGUAUGAUGGAUACAAAAACAAGCAGCACUCUUGGUGAUAACUAGUACCAAGUAUGAUGCGUUUUGAGAAAUGAUACAUGAUACGAGAAAUCGUGUCACGAAUAGGGUACCAUAAGCACCAUUAAUCAACAAUAUACCUAGACCGCAGAACAAAAGGUUAGAUCUAACGGGUUUCGGGCAGCCACACUCUUGGUGAGAACGAGUACCAAGCAGUGCUUUUGUGUCUCAUAAUAUGCCAACUAGAAAAAUGCCUAUGGUUUGGAUGUUUCCUAUGUCGUGUCACAUGUUAAUGGCCUUGCAACCCAUUAACAAAUUGUUACAUACAGAAAUACUUGAUACAAAAAAUACUUGAUUUAUACAAGAAUACUUGAUUUACACAAGAAUACUUGAUUUGUACGAGAAUACUUGAUUUACACAAGAAUACUUGAUUUGUACGAGAAUACUUGAUUUAUCCAAGAUACAUACCAUGUUUUCAUUCAAAGUUUCCAUACAACAUGACAAGAAAAUGAUUUUAAAUUCGUUUUCUCAACCAUAUUUCAAAAACCGUUAUUCAAAAAGAUUUAUUUCAAAUCUUUUACAAACAAACUAUGAAGUCGCUCAACUUUAUGUUGAUUUUUCGCAUGUUUCUUUCUCAGGUUACAUUUCAAAGUUAAGGCACGGUUGGAAUAGGAGAACCAUGAAUAGUCGAGUACUUAGUGGGCGUUCAAUUUCUAGAAGUCUUCGCUUAUAUUUGCUUCCGCUGUGCAAUGAAGAUACCAGUCCAGUCACGUCAAUGCUCUGAUAUUCGGGGUGUGACAAAUUAAGCUCUCAUUGUAUAAUCAUGUAAUAAGCAUAACUUUAGUAAAAAAAACAUUAUACAAUCAAACAAAUUGUGAUAACGUAAUGAUACAUAAUCACGUUACCUUACACUUGUUUCAUAUGGUACGUGAUUAUAGAUGGAGGGUCA